rnacentral:rRNA from 1 species
UACGGGGGGAGCAAGCGUUGUUCGGAUUUACUGGGCGUAAAGGGCGCGUAGGCGGGCGCGACAAGUCACUUGUGAAAUCUCCGGGCUUAACUCGGAGCGGCCAAGUGAUACUGUCGUGCUAGAGUGCGGAAGGGGCAACUGGAAUUCUCGGUGUAGCGGUGAAAUGCGUAGAUAUCGAGAGGAACACCUGCGGCGAAGGCGGGUUGCUGGGCCGACACUGACGCUGAAGCGACGGAAAGCCAGGGGAGCGAACGGG